GUCCUUCAGCAGCACAUACGCUAAAACUGGAACAAUACAGAGAAGAUUAGCAUGGCCCCUGCACAAGGAUGGCGAGCGAAUUCAUGAAGGGUUCCAUGUUUUU
ensembl:snRNA U6 U6 spliceosomal RNA